rnacentral:lncRNA from 10 species
AAGCACAUGAUACUUUCAACAUUGUUAACUAUUAGAAAAAUGCAAAUUAAAUCUGUGAUGAGAUAGCACUGCAUAGUUGCAUAGUUGCAAAAGAGACCUCAUGGCCUUCAAAGCCUAAAAUAUUUACUUUCUAGGGCUUUACAGAAGCACUAAAAUAUGCACUUAUCCACAGUGUUCUCAACACAUCUGGUGGGCUACAAACAAACACUGAGUCCACAUUUCAUGUAUGGCUAUCAAAUCUGAUCAGAACUCUUACCAGUACUGGACAGUAUAGGAACUGCAGAGCAAUUCCUGAGGGUUUGCCCUCAGCUUAAACACACACUUCCACCCGCCCCCGCCACUUUUUACUAUGUAAACACCUCUUUACCCUUUAGGACUUAGCCCAAGCAUCACCUCUUCCUGAAGUCUUCUCUGACCAUUCAUUUCCACUCCAGGCUGGGAAAGGAACCUUCUCUUUAUUCCCAUGAUACCCUCUGCAUGCUUUUGUCACUUUGAAAUAGUAUUUGCUAUGGUCUGAAUGUUUGUGUCACUCCCAAAUUCAUGUUGAUACCUAAUCCCCAAAGUAAUAAUAUUAAGAGAUGGGACUUUUAGGAGGUGAUUAGGUCAUGAGGGUGGAUCCUCAUGAAUGGGAUUAGUGCUCUUAUAAAGAGUGCUCAGAGAGUUUAUUAGCCUCUUGCCCUUUUCACCGUGUGAAUAUGCAGCAAGAAGGGACCAUCUAUAAAGGAGAGAGCCUUCACUAGACAACUAAACCUGCUGGCACCUCAAUUUUUGGACUUUCAAGCCUCAAGAACUGUUGGUGAUAAAUUUAUGAUAUUUAUAAAAUUUUCCAGUCUAAGGAGAAGAGAUAUUCCCAAGAGUUUCUUUCAAAUUAAGAGAUAAAAAGCGGAAGAAGUAAAACAGAGAAGUGAAGGAAAGAAAAAAACACCAUAAAAUGCCAUUUCUUCUGCCUUAGCAAGGUCAGUUCAACACAGUAUGUCUCUCCUCUUGCUUCCUUUCUAAUCUCACUCCUUAGAUCACGUAUAAAGUAUUUAGCUUUAUUACUUUUAUUAAGACAU